UACGUAGGGGGCAAGCGUUGUCCGGAUUUAUUGGGCUUAAAGGGUGCGUAGGCGGCCCUGUAAGUCAGUGCUGAAAUAUCCCAGCUUAACUGGGAGGGUGGCAUUGAUACUGCGGGGCUAGAGUACAGAUGAGGUAGGCGGAAUUGACGGUGUAGCGGUGAAAUGCGUAGAUAUCGGAAGGAACAUCAGUGGCGAAAGCGGCUUCCUGGACCAGUACCGACGUUCAGGCACGAAAGCGUGGGGAGCAAACAGG
rnacentral:rRNA from 1 species